GUGAUACCACCUACUAGCAGGACCUAAGAGCCUCUGCUACUGUGGGAUGAGGACAAAGGUGGAUUGUGAUUCAUUCCGCCAUGGACUUCCAGGCUUUUCUCAGUCAGUGGGGAUGGAAUGGAGGUGAUUGAAACUAAACAGCUCUUCCAUCCUAGAUUGAAGAAUUCCUGGACCGCUGUGAAUGUGGAGGGCGAAAAGGUAGAGGAAUAGCGAGUACAGACUCAUCCACGCGCGGGCUGCGGGGCAGGGCGCUGGGCAGCGGAGACUUACGGCUGAGCGCGCAGUCGCCUUGCGGUGCCGGGACUGUGUUACCCGGCGUGGCCCGCGGGGGACGUGGGGCGGGAAAGACCUUCCGGGAUUGUUGCGGGUGUGGUUCGGUGAGGGCGGCGGGCGUGAGGCCCGAAGAGUGCGAGAGCUCAGCGGAGAGUUUGUGUAAAGCCGGUGGAGAGCGUGGGACAGACGGAGUGCUAUUGGCUCCACGGUUACAGAGAUCCUUCCGCUAAAUACCAGUUAGCGUGCGUCACUAAGAAGACGCUUCAAUAGAACGAUUUUCAAGCUCUCUACCGCCGGUUCUGGUGGCGCAGGCCGGUAGGAUUUGCUGAAGGAGGCAGAGGCAGGAGGAUCUGGAGUUCGAGGACAGCCUGGUCUACACGCUUUUUUUCUCUCCCAUUUUCAACAAAACCACAAAUCCACGGUUAUACUGCGCCCCCAAACAAACUUUCAACCUC
rnacentral:lncRNA from 1 species